CAGGACGAACGCUGGCGGCGUGCCUAAUACAUGCAAGUGGAACGCAUGAUUGAUACCGUAGCUUGCUACACCAUUAAUCAUGAGUCGCGAAACGGGUGAGUAACGCGUAGGUAACCUGCCUACUAGCGGGGGAUAACUAUUGGAAACGAUAGCUAAUACCGCAUAAGAGUUUUUAACACAUGUUAGAAAUUUAAAAGGAGCAAAUGCUUCACUAGUAGAUGGACCUGCGUUGUAUUAGCUAGUUGGUAAGGUAACGGCUUACCAAGGCGACGAUACAUAGCCGACCUGAGAGGGUGAUCGGCCACACUGGGACUGAGACACGGCCCAGACUCCUACGGGAGGCAGCAGUAGGGAAUCUUCGGCAAUGGGGGGAACCCUGACCGAGCAACGCCGCGUGAAGUGAAGAAGGUUUUCGGAUCGUAAAGCUCUGUUGUAAGAGAAGAACGUUGAGUAGAGUGGAAAGUUACUCAAGUGACGGUAUCUUACCAGAAAGGGACGGCUAACUACGUGCCAGCCGCCGC
rnacentral:rRNA from 1 species